CCAGCUGAAAAGGAAAAGUGUAGAAAUGAAGAAGAGACAACUGAUAAUGAAUCAGAAGGUUUCGAAGAUGAACAUGAAGAAAUGACAUUAAGAGAUUGGAUGGAUAUGAAUGGCAUGAAUUUUGCAAAAAAGAUGGACGAAAAUAGAGGAGAGGAAGGGAUGCAAACAAAAGGCACAAUUGGAGUAAAUGUCAACGAUAUGGAUUUGGGUGCAACUGAGGAAGAAGAGAUGGUAUUGGAGGUGACUUUAGCUUUGACACUGGAUUGGGGGGGGCGGGGCGGGAAAAUGAAACAAACCUUGUGGAUCAAGAUCGGGAUGGAACUGAAGGAGGAGAACCAGAUCAAAUGGAAAGGAACGAAAAAGCUACUACUGAGGCAGGUGCAAAUAUUACGGAUCAAAUCCUCAAAACCAUUGUAGAAGAGAUUGUGAAUGAAGAGUACAAGAGCAUGUAUGAUUUGCAUUUAUAUGGAAUGAUCCAGCUUGGUUCAAGGAAUGGGAAGACUUGUUGGAGAGUGAGUAUGAUGAAUUUGGCUAUCCAAGCACUGAUGAAGAACAGAUCAACACAGUGGAGCAUUGGCAAGAUGUAGCAAUGUUGAAACAAGAUAUGGUGGGAAGCGCUAUCGAGAGCUGCAAGAGGAAGCAAGCUUAUAUAGAGAGGUUAUGGGAUGAAAAAGAAGAAGUGUCAAACAAAUACAAAAAGUUGAAGACAAAGAUGAAGAAGAAGCAAGAAGAGAUUAGAAAAUAGAGAAACAAAUGCAGACAACUAAUGAUGAUAGUGCAAAGGGUAGAAAAAGAUGAAGAGGCCAAUGAAGAUGCUGCUGCUGUUCCUGCUCAUGCUACUGCUCCAACAAAUGGACCAAGGACACGAUCAGCGAUAAAGAGAAUCAAAGAAAGAACCGAUCGGAAAGAGAAGCAACUAGAAGGUUUUGAGGUGCAGAAACCAUCGAAGAAACAGAGGAAGAAGAGCAAUUAAAGGACUUCACAAACAUAUUAGUAGUCUAUUUUGGUGCACCAAUCGUAUGGGAUUCAGUGUUAAGUCAGUCAUCCAAAUUAGUAUAUAUUUUCAUGCGCAGAAGAUAGGGAUAUGUUUGUAGAUUUGCUAUUGCCUAUCAUUUCUUGAUCUUUCAACAAGCAGGAUGGGAAGGGGAUCAAAAUCUUGAAUUGCAAAGGUUCUUAAAAGGUUGAAAUUGAUUCAAGUUUUCUAAGCGAAACCAAAAUUUAAUGUUAGGUUGGUGUGAUAUUUUC